AGGAUUCAAUAUUGUAGCAACUGAAAGUAGAACUACAAAUAUUAUAUUAAAUAGCUAAAUAUAGCUUUUAGUCAUUUGACAAACACCAUUUGUGAUGAAAAAUAAAUCUAAGGGUUAGAAAUGGGUAAAUUGGGUUUGGAGGUACAAGGAAAUGUGCAUUGACAGGUGGGUAUUCCACGGUCAUUAAUUAUACAAGUUCCUUGAAUAUUAGUACGUCCUGUUCCUUCCACACAUCUCCUAAAACAUCCAUCUCUAGUUGCCCCGAAUGUGCAUAUGUUAAAUCCUAUCUCAAUAGUGCAUGUGUUGGAUCCAUUCACUACUGCAAUACUUCUUUCAUCUGCAUCCACAGAACUAAUUAAAGCGAGUCUCUAAUUAAAAAAAAAAAAGGAAAAAGGGCAGUUCGGUACACUAAGCUUUCGCUAUGCCAGGAUUUCGGGGAAGAGCCGGACCACAAGGGUCUAUCGUAUGCAGUCUUAUCAUGCAUUUCUGCAAGAGACUAUUUUCACAGCUCAAAUCCAUGACCUCCUGGUCUCUUGUCUUAAAUAAAAAGAAAAAGUUUAGUCCUUUUUUCGAAGGGGGUCUUUAAACAAAUAACCGGACAUAUUCAUUAUUUAUCUUUUCAAGCCAUAUACAUUGAUUAUACACAUAUAAUACAUAAAUUGUACAUAUAUUAUAUGUCACUACUCGAAUGUCAGGAAAAACCGUCCAAAAAAACUGACCAAAGUUGAUCGGUAAUGGCCAAUAACCGUCCAAAAUGCUACCAUUAACUUGUGGUCAGUGGCAUACCGACCAAAGUUGAUCGAAAGUUACCAACCAAUUUUGGUAUGUCAAUUAAAUUGAAAAAAAAAACAAAUUUGCUGAAAGUUUCGACUAAAGUUGGUUGGUAUUUAAUUAUGUAAUUAAAAAAUACACUAUCUGAGAAUCGAACCGAGUUACAUUAUGUAAUUAUAUAACUAAGCGGUUUGAUGGAGGGCUAUUAUAUUUGGGUUAGUUCUUCUCAUCGGAAUUAGUCAAAUCUUAGCUUCUUUAAAAAAGAAAUUGAGGAAAAGGGCUCUUAUAGAAAUUAAAACUAUACUUUAGUUAAAGGGACAGAAUUGGAUGCAAUACCUGAUACAACAGCAAAAAGGAUAGUUAGAAUUACAAGUGAUCUCAUGGACAUUGCCAUCUUGUACCUUGGAU
rnacentral:lncRNA from 1 species